UACGUAGGGUGCGAGCGUUAAUCGGAAUUACUGGGCGUAAAGCGUGCGUAGGUGGCGCGUUAAGUGUGAUGUUAAAUCGUGGGGCUCAACCCUGUCGGUGCAUCACAUACUGGCGUGCUAGAGGACAGCAGAGGCAAGUGGAAUUAGCAGUGUAGCAGUGAAAUGCGCAGAUAUCAGGAGGAACACCGGUGGCGAAGGCGGAUCUCUGGGCCUUACCUGACGCUCAGGCGCGAAAGCUAGGGGAGCGAACUGG
rnacentral:rRNA from 1 species